UCAUAGCCCCGAUAGCAGCGGUUACCCCACAGCAGAUGGGGCUUCGGGGUGGCGCGAGGAGUAUGAGCGUAUAGCGGGAAACAGC
rnacentral:misc_RNA from 1 species